rnacentral:rRNA from 1 species
AUUGAACGCUGGCGGCAUGCUUUACACAUGCAAGUCGAACGGCAGCACAGGGAGCUUGCUCCCGGGUGGCGAGUGGCGCACGGGUGAGUAAUACAUCGGAACGUGUCCUGUUGUGGGGGAUAACUGCUCGAAAGGGUGGCUAAUACCGCAUGAGACCUGAGGGUGAAAGCGGGGGAUCGCAAGACCUCGCGCAAUUGGAGCGGCCGAUGCCCGAUUAGUUAGUUGGUGAGGUAACGGCUCACCAAGACCGCGAUCGGUAGCCGGACUGAGAGGUUGAACGGCCACAUUGGGACUGAGAUACGGCCCAGACUCCUACGGGAGGCAGCAGUGGGGAAUAUUGCACAAUGGAGGAAACUCUGAUGCAGCGACGCCGCGUGAGCGAAGAAGUAUUUCGGUAUGUAAAGCUCUGUCAGCAGGGAAGAUAAUGACGGUACCUGACCAAGAAGCCCGGCUAACUACGUG